GACGAACGCUGGCGGCGUGCCUAAUACAUGCAAGUCGAACGCAGUGGGGACGGGUGAGUAACACGUGGGUAACCUCCCAUCAGAGGGGAUAACACUUGGAAACAGGUGCUAAACCGAUACUGAUGGAUGGACCCGCGGUGCAUUAGCUAGUGGGUGAGGUAACUGCUAACCAAGGCCACGAUGCAUAGACGACCUGAGAGGGUUAUCAGCCACACUGGUACUGGGACGCGGCCCUGACUCCGACGGGAGGCAGCAGUAGGGAGUCUUCGGCAAUGGACGAAAGUCUGACCGAGCAACGCCGCGUGAGUGAAGAAGUUUUUCGGAUCGUAAAACUCUGUUGUUAGAGAAGCGGUAUCUAACCAGAAAGCCACGGCUAACUACGUGCCAGCAGCCGCGGUAAUUA
rnacentral:rRNA from 1 species